CAGCCGCCGCGGGAAUACGUAGGUGGCAAGCGUUGUCCGGAAUUAUUGGGCGUAAAGCGAGCGCAGGCGGUUCCUUAAGUCUGAUGUGAAAGCCCCCGGCUCAACCGGGGAGGGUCAUUGGAAACUGGGGAACUCAAGUGCAGAAGAGGAGAGUGGAAUUCCAUGUGUAGCGGUGAAAUGCGUAGAUAUAUGGAGGAACACCAGUGGCGAAGGCGACUCUCUGGUCUGUAACUGACGCUGAGGCUCGAAAGCGUGGGUAGCAAACAGGAUUAGAUACCCCUGUAGUCCCUGUCUCUUAUAC
rnacentral:rRNA from 1 species